GAAAGGUUUGGUCCUAGCCUUAUAAUUAGUUAGAGGUAAAUUUACACAUGCAAAGCUCCGUAUACCAGUGUCAAAUCCCCCAAAAUUUAUACAAAUUCUGGGGAGAGGGCAUCAAGUACAUAUAGAUAGCUAAAGACGCCUUGCCUAGCCACGCCCCCACGGGUCCCAGCAGUGAUAAAAAUUAAGCAAUGAACGAAAGUUUGACUAAGUUAUACCUCUUUAGGGUUGGUAAAUUUCGUGCCAGCCACCGCGGUCAUACGAUUAACCCAAAUUAAUUAUUCAACGGCGUAAAACGUGUCCUUAGAGCCUGCCAAAAUAGAAUUAAAAAUCAACUNAUAUGUGAAAAUUCAUUGUUGAAACUAAAAUCAGUGACGAAAGUAAUUCUAAUNNUNUUAAUACACGAUAGCUAAGACCCAAACUGGGAUUAGAUACCCCACUAUGCUUAGCCCUAAACUUCAAUAAUUUCUUUUUACAAAAUUAUUUGCCCGAGAACUACUGGCCACAGCUUAAAACUCAAAGGACUUGGCGGUACUUUAUAUCCANCUAGAGGAGCCUGUUCUAUAAUCGAUAAACCCCGCUACACCUUACCAUUUCUUGCAAGUUCAGCCUAUAUACCGCCAUCUUCAGCAAACCUUAAAAAAGAAUAAAAGUAAGCAAGAGAACAAUCAUAAAAACGUUAGGUCAAGGUGUAGCCUAUGAAAUGGAAAGCAAUGGGCUACAUUUUCUCACUAAGAACAUCACGAAAUCUCUUAUGAAAUUAAGAGAUGAAGGAGGAUUUAGUAGUAAACUAAGAAUAGAGAGCUUAGUUGAAUAGAGCAAUGAAGUACGCACACACCGCCCGUCACCCUCCUCAAACUAAAUAAACAGAGCAUUUUCAUAAAUACUUCUAAAACUUUACCAGAGGAGGCAAGUCGUAAGAUGGUAAGCAUACUGGAAAGUGUGCUUGGAAUAAC
rnacentral:ncRNA from 1 species